rnacentral:lncRNA from 1 species
AAAGAUACUCACCUCUUCUCUAACCCCCCUAAUAUGACACACACACACACAGACACACACACACAAACCCACACACAGAUCCAUAUAUACAUGCAGACAGCCACACAAACACACAGAGGCACACAUACAGCCACACAAACACAAACACACAGCCACACAAACAUACACAUACAUAUACACACAGCCACACAAACACACACAGAGGCACACAUACAGCUGCACAAACACAAACACACAGCCACACAAACAUACACAUACAUAUACACAGCUACACAAACACACAGAGACACACAGCCACACAAACAGAGAAACACACAGCCACACAAAUAUAUACAUACAUAUACACACACAGCCACACAAAUAUACACAGAGGCACACAUAUAGCCACACAAACAGAAACACACAGCCACACAAACAUACACACAGACACAUACAGAGACAUAGACACACGCACAUUUGGCCACACAAACACACACAGACAAAAAGAUACACACAGACACACAAACACAUCCCGAUGUCCUGUUUGAGUCUGUGCUCAGGUACGUAAUUAAUCAUCACAGUGGCUCGUGGCUCAAUCUUGUCAUUGGUCCACGCAAGCCUCUAUUUUAUAAAUGUGUUUUUAAUCACUCCACGGUGAAGCUUUUCCGCAGUGAGAGCACCAGACAAGCCCGCACCGGCCCGUGGCCCUGCCCCUUCCUUCCCACUCCUUCCCGGCCCCACCCCCCUCUGGCCCCGCCCCAGGUCUCCACUGCCGCCCAGAUCCACUGUCUCUGUUCCCUGCUUUGCUUUCUAAUGCAGUUUCAUCACAUCUGUGUGUUUAGCUAAAAGGUAUCUCUAUUUUUGGUUUGGGUUGUUUAAAUUGUAAUAAAUGGGUGUCUAUAAUUUGGGGGCACUUAACAGUUUUGCAUUCAAUGUUGAUAAGAUUUAUAAAGCAAACAUUUUGGCCACCAUAUGGUAUACCACUGUUUGAACUCCACAGUUUACCAUCCUGCAGGGUGGAGACGGCAGGGCUGGCUGUUUCUUUGCAGUUAGAAUGUGCGUGGUCCACAUUUCUGCAGGCUCACAGGCAAGGGCUGUGCAGCUGUCGGCCGGGAGCAGAGCCCUGCCUUGAAGCUUGAGCUGUCGGAGUGGUGGUGGGUGGGGGUAGGGGGGUGUGGGGUUGACCCCCGUCUCACUUUUCGCCUUUCCUGGAAGAGUAGACCACAUACCACUGCCCUUCAUCGGCUCCAAAGUGGGGUCCCAAUUUCUGCCCCUACAGCCCCUACAGCUGCACUGUGCGGCGAGCCACUUCCUGUCCCAGAAGUGGUCUCAUGUCAUACUUGGAAGCCUGAGCCCUCGAAGGGGUGCAGGAUGAUACCGUGACCCUUCUCCGAUUUGCAUCUUCCUGAUAGCACAUUAGGUUUAACAUCCCCUCAUAGGCUCCACUGGCCGUGAGUGUUGCCUGUGACAUGCCCAUUCAUACCUUCUGCCCAUGCUUCUAUUCUGUCGUUAGCGUUUUUAAAACAACUCGGGGGUACUCUGUAUUGUGCUACAGCUUGAUUUUUAAAGCUAGCACAGACAGCAGGGGGAUGCUGGCUACAUGUGUAUGGUUUGUGUAUACAUGUGUAUGCGUGCGCAAAUACAUGAGUUACAUUUUUAUCGUGUGCUUUUUUCAUUUAACAACAUCUCUUAGAGCUGUUUCAUGAAAACAAAGUACAUCUAAAACGUAACUUCAAUUAUGCCGUUGUGUGAGCAUAAUAUACUAUAUUUAAGCCCUUAUAUUCUGUUUCGAUUUUUUUACAUUGUAAACUGCUUUGUGAUAAACAGCCUUGAAGUCCAAUCUUUUCACAUUUGAAUUUUUCUCUCCUUAGGAGAUAUUUUAAGUAAGAGAAGCAUGGAGUCAAAGGACAUAUUUUAAAAGCUUCCUUUUAUGUAUGGCUAAACUGAUCAAGGUUUUUUGCUGGUGUUUGUUUUUGUUUUCUGAGAAUGCAAACGGCUAGAGGCUGUUCUGCCAGUGGGCUGAAGUCCGUCAGCCCACAGUCCCCAGGCCCAGCCAUGGCUGUGCACCUGUGUGCACUCGGAGGGGCAGGGAGGGGUGGGGGUGCAGGCUCUGCCUCCUCUUGCUCUUGGGCGGCUCGUUCCUGGCUUUUCCGCCUUGACCAUGUGGCGGCCUGUCUCAGAUGUUCUUUAUCUUAUCACAUGGCAUGUCCAUGUGCCGCUGGGCAUUUCUGGCACUUCGCACAGCUCCUAAACAUCUGUUUGUCCCUGUGGUUACACAUAUCGCCCCCUUGUAAAAGUGAGCAUGUCUUUCUGGUCCACUACAGUAUUUCUCAUACCUAAUUCCAAUGCCUGGCACACAGUAGGUGCUUUAGAUAUUUGUUGAUUGGAUUUGACAAAUCCAAUGUAUGAUUUGAUUUGUAUGAUUGAAUUUGAAUGUAUGAUUGGAUUUGACAAAGGAUAGAGAAAAGACUGGGAGAACGCCUCCCAGCGUCUUCAUUGUUGUUCUAUAGAUCGACGCUUCUCAACUGGGCCAGGAACACACGGCGAUGUCUGGAGGCAUUUUUCGUUGUCACAUCAGGGGGUGAGAACAAUUGGCACCUGGUGGGUGGGGGCUGGGGGUGCUGCGGAACAUCCUGCUGUGCAAAGGGCAGACCCCACAACAAAGGAUCCUCCCCAAAGUGCCCAUAGCACCAUGUCUGGGAAACCCCGAUUGACAUCGUGCAGUCAUAGGGUGCCCAUAGUGCCGUGUCUGGGAAACCCCGAUUGAGAUCGUGCGGUCAUAGGGUGCCCAUAGCACCAUGUCUAGGAAACCCCGAUUGGGUUCGUGCGGUCAUAGGGUGUCCAUAGUGCCGUGUCUGGGAAACCCUAAAUGAGAUCAUGCAGUCAUAGGGUGCCCAUAGCACCAUGUCUGGGAGACCCCGAUUGAGAUCGUGCAGUCAUAGGGUGCCCAUAGUGCCACGUCUGGGAAACCCCAGUUGAGAUCGUAUGGUCAUAGGGUGCCCAUAGUGCCAUGUCUAGGAAACCCCAAUUGGGUUCAUGCGGUCAUAAGGUGCCCAUAGUGCCGUGUCUGGGAAACCCCGAUUGAGAUCGUGCGGUCAUAGGGUGCCCAUAGCACCAUGUCUAGGAAACCCCAAUUGGGUUCGUGCGGUCAUAGGGUGCCCAUAGUGCCGUGUCUGGGAAACCCCGAUUGAGAUCGUGCAGUCAUAGGGUGCCCAUAGCACCAUGUCUAGGAAACCCCGAUUGGGUUCGUACAGUCAUAGGUUGCCCAUAGUGCCGUGUCUGGGAAACCCCGAUUGAGAUCGUGCGGUCAUAGGGUGCCCAUAGCACCAUGUCUAGGAAACCCCGAUUGGGUUCGUACAGUCAUAGGGUGCCCAUAGUGCCGUGUCUGGGAAACCCCAAUUGAGAUCGUACGGUCAUAGGGUGCCCAUAGCGCCAUGUCUAGGAAACCCCGAUUGGGUUCGUGCGGUCAUAGGGUGCCCAUAGUGCCGUGUCUGGGAAACCCCAAUUGAGAUCGUACGGUCAUAGGGUGCCCAUAGUGCCGUGUCUGGGAAACCCCGAUUGAGAUCGUGCGGUCAUAGGGUGCCCAUAGCACCGUGUCUGGGAGACCCCGAUUGAGAUCGUGCAGUCAUAGGGUGCCCAUAGUGCCGUGUCUGGGAAACCCUAAAUGAGAUCGUGCAGUCAUAGGGUGCCCAUAGUGCGGUGUCUGGGAGACCCCGAUUGAGAUCAUGAGGUCAUAGGGUGCCCAUAGCACCAUGUCUGGGAAACCCUGAAUGAGAUCAUGCGGUCAUAGGUAAUUUUCUCCUUUUUCUUUGUAUUGGCUUUCCAAAUUCUCUGAAAUAAUUUUGUAGUUAAAAAAUUACUUAUUAAAGAGAUAUUCUUCACUAAUACAAGCUGGGGAAGAGGAGGCAGUGCCGCAGUGGGGGGUAGCCUGACCACAGCACACUGCUCCUGUCUGCUUCUUUUUGUCCUGCAUGGGGAAUUUUGGGGUGCCAGGUUGAAGGUCUGCACGCAGCCUCAGGCCUCAGAGCACUUGGACAUUUGUUCUAGAAAACACCCCCAAGAUGUGCCCACUCUGUGGUUUGCCAAGUAAGUGAGCCCAGGAACGCAAUAAUUUACUCAAGUGGACAGAAUUAGUGCCAUUUAGGGAGAGGGGCUGAGUGCUGUAUUGAGGGGCCUGGAAGCCGUCGGGGCUGGGCUGGGUCCGGACUUGCUAAACCUAUCUGAUCUGACACUUGCGUCAGGAGAAAGGUGGGGGGCAGCUGGUUUUUGUGGGUGACCUGCUAGCCAGGGCACUUCCUGCGGUAGAUGAGAAUGUCCACCACCUGCGCCCUCCGAACCGCUUUAUUGGACUAAGGGACAUCGCCAGGGCUAGACACAUGCCCCACCACUCUGCACGUGUGGCGUAAGGGGCUCAGCAAUUGUCUAAACAGAGGAGGCUCCUUCUUAGACAGCAAAGCUGUGUGUUUUGUAUCUGUUGGUCUCAUUUCCUGUGGGAUGUUUCCUGGUUGCAGCAUGUCUGUGCUUGGUUAGUAAGACAGUUGGUCCAAAGCUCUUCUUCUCUCCCGUGGGGAAUGUGAGCAGAACGAUCCUUAGGUAGAAAAGCGGAGAACCAGUGCUUCUGCUUCUUUUGCGUAGGUGGACAAGAAAUAACAGUGGGAGGAUAUUGUCUGUCCCUAAUUACCUGCCCUGCAUCCAAUUUGCUGGUGUCAGGCAGCUUUCCUGAGGCAAGCCCUUGGGUACACUGAGACGCUAGGAGGGACAGCAGCUCCGGGGCCUGCAGGGCUCUGGGAUUUUUUUCUGCCAGGUACACUUCCCCCUGCCUGCAUUGUGCAGAAAGGCAAAGAUGAGCAAUUGGGAGAAAGACAGCCCCAGUGACUCAGCAUGGAGAUAUUAUGGGAUAGGGGAGAGCUGGCUACUUCUCAACCCUUCCCCCGCCUCGCUUGCCGUGGGUUUCAGCAUCGCGGGGGCUGUGGAGAAAGGCCUAGAGAGCUUUGCAGGACCAAGUGGUGGUCGGGCAGCCCGUGCUGCAGGAGGUGAACCCGGGCAUGUGACACGGUCACAGGGACUCCUCCAGUGGUUUAACGUGCAGUGUGAGUGGCCUUAACACGGGACCCGGACAUGCUGCCUCUGGGCUGGGGAGGGACAGGAACCCGAGGCAGAUCCUUCCACCAAACGAGUGUUUUGCUGUCAGGACGCAGCCUCCCUGGAAGCAGAGGCUCCCCUGCGAUUCCGCUCGGAGUCCCACGCUGCUCAGUAUGCAUGAUCACAGGGCGCCACCGGGAUGGAACGCACGGCGCCCCGACGUGAUUUUCCAGAGAACUGAGUUCCUUGAAUAUUAAAAUUAACCUUUUUUAAUAACA